rnacentral:tRNA from 1 species
UGUGUGUAGCUCAGUGGUAGAGCAUUUGCCUAGUAUGUUUGAGGCCCUGGGUUUGAACCCCACCACCACAA